GACCAAUUUAGGUCUUUCAGCCUUUUAGUAGAUAGCUCCCUGAUACCGUGGGAAUUAGGGAGUUAUCUACUAAGCGGCUGCAAGAUGCAGCCACAGCAAUGAAUAGGAUCGGAGUUUCAUUCAUUAGAAUGAAACUCCGAUCCGAAUAAAGUGCCGAAUUGCGUUCUAAAAGAAACGAACAUACUGUUCUCAUUCAGUUAGAAC